rnacentral:lncRNA from 1 species
GGGCUCUGACUACCAUAGCCCUCCAGACUCUGUUUGCAAAGGACAAAAGAAAAGGUCUUGUGGGAAUCUAACUGCUAAAAUAUUGUCUCUUUACUGAGCAAUCUCAGAUGUAGCCCCUUUCCCCAGGAGGAACAGAGGCAAGUUUUUAUAGCCACAGCAACAGGCACGUGCUGGGAAUCAGCAUUCCCCCCGCGAUUCAAGUUGCUACCCCCAAAGACUGGGGAAGAGCUAGAGCUAGACAUCUUUGAAGGGAAACUGCUAGAAUUUAAUGAGGAUAAAGCCUGUUUCUCCUAUCAUUUUUCUCAGAAAUGGCUGAAGUAUUCUGCCUGAAACAUUUAAAAAGUAAAAUAAGAACUGAGGAAGGAAACUGGCACUGAAAUACUUAAACCCAGAGUUUAAAGUUUACAUUAUAAGUAAACUGCAGACAGUUUUAUGGCGGGAAGGACUGGACAAUCUUAAUUUAUAGGCAGUGCUAUCACCACCAUACAAAUAUGUUUGUUUUGAGUGAAGACAAUCUAUAAUUCCUGUUAAAUAAAACUUACUAUAAGCGACUAAAGCUAAAAUUUGUCUGUUUAGCUUCAGUGUUAGAAGAUGGCCACAUUCUUUUAUGUGGUGUUUUGACGCUUGACUUGCUUAUAGCAAAAACUACAGGUGCUCUGAUUUCAGCAUACAAGGUCAGUCAUGGCUGAAGAUAGGAGGGGAUUAUAGAAGCUUUCACAGGACUUAGGGGCAAAAACAAUCCUUCCUUUGUGCAUUGCUCAGUACAUAUCUGGCAUAUAAAUGUUAAUUGAUUAUACACUAGAUUUAAUGUAGACAAAAUGUGACCUCUGAUGUUUCUGGGUGAAAUGCUUCUAUUUUCUUGAACAAAUUCCUGAAACUGUACAGGUGCACACUGUGCCCUACGUAUUAUCACUGUUUGCCAGCUUUAGAACUUAUCUUGACGUGACAGUAACUACUUCGUCAGCUCCCUUUUGGUAAAGUUUUCUUAAUGAAGCAUCUGACACAAAUGCUAAAAAACUUCUUUAAAUUCAUACUCAGAUCAAAUACUGAAAAUAACAGUGAGAGCAGAGCGUGAAUCAUGGGCCUGCUUUGCUGCAGUUUAUUUUUGUGCUGCUCGAGUGCCACCAACCAGCGGUAUCUGGUGACCUCACCACAAGGUGACUGGGGUCAGUGCUUGUUAAAGAAGGAGUCUCAGGGUGUGAGGCUGAAAACCAGUUUGGGAAAUGAGUGCUUCACAUUAUGAUCUCAGCAGAGCACCACAGCCGUGUCCUAAAGCACAAGUUACUGUGCAGCCUUAACCUCAUCAGCCUUAGCUCAUGGAUUCACACAGCCUAAUACCAUCUUUGGGAUGCUGGAACACAUGGAAGGAGCACAUAUCAUCCCAGUUUUCCCUUUGCAUUUAGAAUUUCUCAGUAGUUCCCCAUCUUAACUGAAAUGCUAAUAAAAGUGUAAAUGAUUUAUAGUUCACGAGAGUUGUGUAGCAACCCAGAAAACAACAUUUAAAACAAGUAAACAAAGAGGGAAAAAAAG